CAAUAGCGUAUAUUAAAGUUGUUGCGGUUAAAAAGCUCGUAGUUGGAUUUCUGCCGAGGACGACCGGUCCGCCCUCUGGGUGAGUAUCUGGCUCGGCCUGGGCAUCUUCUUGGAGAACGUAGCUGCACUUGACUGUGUGGUGCGGUAUCCAGGACUUUUACUUUGAGGAAAUUAGAGUGUUUCAAGCAGGCUUACGCCUUGAAUACAUUAGCAUGGAAUAAUAAGAUAGGACCUCGGUUCUAUUUUGUUGGUUUCUAGAGCUGAGGUAAUGAUUAAUAGGGAUAGUUGGGGGCAUUCGUAUUUAACUGUCAGAGGUGAAAUUCUUGGAUUUGUUAAAGACGGACUACUGCAAAAGCAUUUGCCAAGGAUGUUUNCAUUG
rnacentral:rRNA from 1 species